rnacentral:scRNA from 1 species
CGGCUCACCAAGGGGCAUCAGAUUCCACGAUU